AUUGAACGCUGGCGGCAGGCCUAACACAUGCAAGUCGAGCGGGGUUUUCGGACCUAGCGGCGGACGGGUGAGUAAUGCGUAGGAAGCUGCCCGAUAGAGGGGGAUACCAGUUGGAAACGACUGUUAAUACCGCAUAAUGUCUACGGACCAAAGUGUGGGACCUUCGGGCCACAUGCUAUCGGAUGCGCCUACGUGGGAUUAGCUAGUUGGUGAGGUAAUGGCUCACCAAGGCGACGAUCUCUAGCUGGUUUGGGAGGAUGAUCAGCCACACUGGAACUGAGACAUGGUCCAGACUCCUACGGGAGGCAGCAGUGGGGAAUAUUGGACAAUGGGCGCAAGCCUGAUCCAGCCAUGCCGCGUGUGUGAAGAAGGCCUUCGGGUUGUAAAGCACUUUCAGCGAGGAGGAAGGGGUGUGUGUUAAUAGUACACACCUUUGACGUUACUCGCAGAAGAAGCACCGGCUAACUCUGUGCCAGCCGCCGCGGUAAUAC
rnacentral:rRNA from 1 species